UGAGCGCUGUGUUUGUAGUGUACCUAAGC
rnacentral:piRNA from 1 species